rnacentral:rRNA from 1 species
UGGGGAAUAUUGCACAAUGGGCGCAAGCCUGAUGCAGCCAUGCCGCGUGUGUGAAGAAGGCCUUCGGGUUGUAAAGCACUUUCAGCGGGGAGGAAGGCGUUAAGGUUAAUAACCUUGGCGAUUGACGUUACCCGCAGAAGAAGCACCGGCUAACUCCGUGCCAGCAGCCGCGGUAAUACGGAGGGUGCAAGCGUUAAUCGGAUUUACUGGGCGUAAAGCGCACGCAGGCGGUCUGUCAAGUCGGAUGUGAAAUCCCCGGGCUCAACCUGGGAACUGCAUUCGAAACUGGCAGGCUAGAGUCUUGUAGAGGGGGGUAGAAUUCCAGGUGUAGCGGUGAAAUGCGUAGAGGUCUGGAGGAAUACCGGUGGCGAAGGCGGCCCCCUGGACAAAGACUGACGCUCAGGUGCGAAAGCGUGGGGAGCAAACAGG